UGCCUCAGCCUGUUUUGGAAAACGGAAACGGUUAUAUCGGUCUAUUUUUGUGAAACGCUGGGGCACCUACUGACUGAUAAAAUUUAUUUGUUAUAAAAGAGAACCAACCGAAUAAUCUUGCACCCACGGUGUUAGGGUCUUUUCACACUCUUUCUUCAUGCUGGUCUGCAGUAUCUUCAGUUCUCACUUUGCUAUUGACAAAGCGCUGUGAUGAAACAGAAUUUGACCCAUGUCCACAUACAAAAAAAGUCAAUAAAAUUCCUCUGUCAGCAGCAGAAAAACAAAUUCUUUUAUAUCUUGAACCAACAGAAAUGCAAGUGUCAUAUCCCAUAUGUAAGCAUCUAAAUGCUAAUUUUCUAUUAUUUAGACAGUGGGAGCGGAGUGCAUUAAAUACAAGGCUUUUUAUUACAGAGACAUGAAGUACAACACAUGCAUUAGCAGUUAUGGCCCACAGAAAUUUGCGCAUCAAGAAAUGCAUGGAUUACAUACUGUAGCAGUAUUAACUCAGCUAAAACACGCUAUACAUUUAUAUACAUUCCUGUAUACUACACAGUGUUAAAUAUUACAAUGUAAGCAAAAUUACGUAGGGCUGUAUUUAUGUAUACACAUAGAGUGAUACUAGAGGUGAGAAGAAUAGCUGCUGGAGAGAACUCUACAGUGAACAGUUUUAGUAAUUUAAAAAUAUUAAUGCAUCUUCCUUAUGUGGACAGGGCCAAAUUAAUGCUGCAGCUGCAAGCUAAAGGGCCUUCUUUUUCCUAAUAUUGUACAGCCUUCAGCCAAUCUGAAACAUGUUUGGCUCGUGAGCAUAGUGAUAAUUCACAUUAAAUAUUUAAUGAUGCCAUAAUAUCGUGAUGCUACAUUCCCUCCUUUAUUAUUUCAAGAUGUUUCAUGGAACUUGCCUUAUGCUGUAUGGAUUGGAGCAGCAAGUGGAUGAAUAUCCUUUGUUUUAUUACCCCCAUAAAAAGCACAAAUGGAAAUACUCCUUCUAAACAAUUGUAAGCAUCUUUUAGCUUAAAAGUUUGUCUGAACUUUGGGGACAGGUGAACCCCAUAGUAUCCAAAAAAGGAAUAGUUUUACAGUUUGAUAGACCUCUUAUGUUUUUUGACACUGUAGCUGAAAGUAGGAAGGUACUACCUUUAUUUUUUUCCCCAUUUUUUCAUGCCUUCUUCAUGGUUUGUGAAAUACAAAAUUUAUGAUUAAUAAAUUUCAGUAACUUGUUUUCUGAUUUAAAAAACAAUAAACUGCUAAAUUAUUAGUGUUAUGCAAAAUUAAAGCUUGUAAUUCAUGAUUCUUUACAAAUGUAAUAGAGUAUUUACUGGUAAAUAAGAGAUUCACUCAGUUUUCUGUGGAGGAAGUCAGUGGUGAUACACUGAAAAAAAGUGUACUGUGGAGUCAAAGAAUUAGUGAUACGUGUGUCAAUUGUUUUGUUCUUUUUGCAUUUAACAGUUCAAAUAGCGGAAUGUGUUUGACAUUCUGCUUUUAGACAGCCAUCAAGCAUCUGUUUGAAUUCUCAAGGAGAUUAAGCAGAAACAUAUUUACUGAUCAUUUCUCCUGAGAGCACCAGCGCCAUCUUUAGCCUAAUUUCAUUUACUAGUCUUAAUGUAAAAUACAUUGUUAGACUGUAAAUUUUGUUUUAUACUUUUAUUCAAUUUAAAUAGUAUCAGAUGUGAUUUUAUGCCUGACUUUUCCUAAUAUGUGCACUUAUAUGGUGUAUAUUUUCCUUUUUAGCUGGAAGGGUAGUGUAGAAUAUUAUACCCUGAGGUCAAAACAACCCUUUCAUUACAGAGGAAGUAAAUAGACUGUUUAAAAGGUUUAAAGGACUGGUUUCAAAGGGCUACACAACUUUUCUAUCUGAAUGUCAUGGUUUCAGCUGGGAUAGAGUUAAUUUUCUUCCUAGUAGCUGAUACAGUGCUGUGUCUUGGAUUUAGUGUGAGAAUAAUGUGGAUAACACACGUUAUCAACAUGCUGAUGUUUGAUUGUUGCUAAGUAGCACUUAUCAUAAGUUAAGGUUUUGCAGUUUCCUUUGCUCUGCCAGUAGGCAGGCGUACAAGAAGCUGGGAGGGAGCAUGACCAGGACAUGACAGGGAGCUGACCUGAACUAGCCAAAGGGAUAUUCCAUGCCAUAGAACGUCAUGCUCAGUACAUAAACUGGGGGCAGUUGACUGGGAGGAGUGGAUCACUGCUCAGGCAUCGGUCAGUGAGUGAUACAAAGCAGUCAACUGUGUUUGGACAUGGAUCUCUCUGACACUUAUAAAGGGGAUCUAGAUGAAAGCCAUAGAGAAGAUACUGCCCAAUCAUAAACCCGACUUCCACUGCAGAUCUUGUGAAAAUAUGUAUCACGCUCUUAGUCUGUAUAAGGCAUGACCCAUAUACACCAAGGAAGGGGAAGACACAAAUAUAACUUGCAAGACCCAGUAUCUUAUGAGAGAGAUGGGAAAGGCCUCAUCAUAGCAC